GACGAACGCUGGCGGCGUGCUUAACACAUGCAAGUCGAACGGUGAAAGCGGAGCUUGCUCCGCUGGAUCAGUGGCGAACGGGUGAGUUACACGUGGGCAACCUGCCCCUCACUUCGGGAUAACUCCGGGAAACCGGGGCUAAUACCGGAUAUGACCUCCUUGGGCAUCCUUGGAGGUGGAAAGUUUUUCGGUGAGGGAUGGGCCCGCGGCCUAUCAGCUUGUUGGUGAGGUAGUGGCUCACCAAGGCGACGACGGGUAGCCGGCCUGAGAGGGCGACAGGCCACACUGGGACUGAGACACGGCCCAGACUCCUACGGGAGGCAGCAGUGGGGAAUAUUGCGCGAUGGGCGAAAGCCUGACGCAGCAACGCCGCGUGCGGGAUGACGGCCUUCGGGUUGUAAACCGCUUUCAGCAGGGAAGAAGCCGCAAGGUGACGGUACCUGCAGAAGAAGCACCGGCUAACUACGUGCCAGCCGCCGCCGUAA
rnacentral:rRNA from 1 species